ACCCUUGAGGUGUGACCGCGUACCUUUUGUAUAAUGGGUCAGCGAGUUAUGGCAACAAGCAAGCUUAAGUCGAAAGAUGUAGGCGCAGCGAAAGCGAGUCUUAAUAGGGCGCUAAGUUUGUUGCUGUAGACCCGAAACCGAGUGAUCUAUCCAUGGCCAGGUUGAAGGUUAGGUAACACUAACUGGAGGACCGAACCCACUAAUGUUGAAAAAUUAGGGGAUGAGCUGUGGAUAGGGGUGAAAGGCCAAUCAAACUCGGAAAUAGCUGGUUCUCCCCGAAAUCUAUUUAGGUAGAGCGUUGCACGAAUUCUGUUGGGGGUAGAGCACUGGAAAGGCUAGAGGGUCACCUAGACUUAUCAACCCUUACCAAACUCCGAAUACCAACAAGAACUAUGCAGCAGACAGACUGCGGAUGCUAACGUCCGUAGUCAAGAGGGAAACAACCCAGAGCGCCGACUAAGGUCCCCAAAUUCAUGCUAAGUGUGAAAGGAUGUGGAAUUACAUAGACAGCUAGGAGGUUGGCUUAGAAGCAGCCACCCUUUAAAGAAAGCGUAACAGCUCACUAGUCGAGUGAUUCCGCGCCGAAGAUGUAACGGGGCUAAAGCAUGAUACCGAAGUCGCGUCUGUAAGAUUUAUCUUACGGGGUAGGGGAGCGUUCUGUAAGCCUGUGAAGGUGUAUCGUAAGGUAUGCUGGAGGUAUCAGAAGUGAGAAUGCUGACAUGAGUAGCGAUUAGAAGGGUGAGAAUCCCUUCCGCCGAAAUCCCAAGGGUUCCUGUUCUAUGCUGUUCAGAGCAGGGUGAGUCGGUACCUAAGGCGAGGCCGAAAGGCGUAGUCGAUGGCAAACAGGUUAAUAUUCCUGUACCAAGUAGGAAGGACGGAGAAGGUUAGGUCAGCUGGCUGUUGGAUAUGCCAGUGCAAGCGUAUAGCAUAGUUUACUAUGUAAGGCGUGAUGAUGAGGCACUUGUGCCGAAGUGAUUGAUACCAGCUUCCAGGAAAAGCUCCUACAAUAUAGGCCGUACCCCAAACCAACACAGGUGGGAUGGUAGAGUAUACCAAGGCGUUGAGAGAACCAUGCCUAAGGAACUCGGCAAAAUGCAUCCGUAACUUCGGGAGAAGGAUGACCGAGAUAAUGUGAAUCCCCUUGCGGGAGUAGCAGUAACCGGUGGCACAGAAACGGGGGUAACGACUGUUUAUUAAAAACACAGGUCUAUGCAAAAUCGAAAGAUGAAGUAUAUGGACUGACGCCUGCCCGGUGCUGGAAGGUUAAAUUGAGCUGUGCAAGCAGUGAUAUGAAGCCCCAGUAAACGGCGGCCGUAACUAUAACGGUCCUAAGGUAGCGAAAUUCCUUGUCGGGUAAGUUCCGACCCGCACGAAUGGCGUAACGAUUUCCCCACUGUCUCGGGUGUGGACUCAGCGAAAUUGAACUCUGAGUGAAGAUGCUCAGUAGCCGCGGCUAGACGGAAAGACCCCGUGCACCUUUACUAUAGGUUCGCAUUGAUGUUAGGGCUAACAUGUGCAGGAUAGGUGGGAAACUUUGAAAUGUAGUCGCCAGAUUACAUGGAGUUGUCCUUGAGAUACCACCCUUGUUAUCUUUGACAUCUAACCAAGACCAGUUAUCCUGGUCUGAGACAGUGCGUGCUGGGUAGUUUGACUGGGGCGGUCGCCUCCUAAAGAGUAACGGAGGCGUGCAAAGGUUGGCUCAGAGCGGUCGGAAAUCGCUCGACGAGUAUAAUGGCAAAAGCCAGCCUGACUGCGAGACAGACACGUCAAGCAGGUACGAAAGUAGGUCAUAGUGAUCCGGUGGUCCCGAAUGGAAGGGCCAUCGCUCAACGGAU
rnacentral:rRNA from 1 species